UACGUAGGUGGCAAGCGUUGUCCGGAAUUAUUGGGCGUAAAGCGCGCGCAGGCGGCUCGGCAAGCAUGGCGUGAAAGCCCCCGGCUCAACCGGGGAGAGUCGUCGUGGACUGCCGGGCUUGAGGGCGGUAGGGGCUGGUGGAAUUCCCGGUGUAGUGGUGAAAUGCGUAGAGAUCGGGAGGAACACCCGUGGCGAAGGCGGCCAGCUGGGCCGACCCUGACGCUGAGGCGCGAAGGCGUGGGGAGCGAACGGG
rnacentral:rRNA from 1 species